AGGAAUUAAAAGGUUGAUCGCACGAAUUGCUGUGCAGAGCAGGCUUGAUCCAAUGUUUCAUUAAACCGGGGUGGUGGGUGAGGGGGAAGAAAGCGGUUUAUUAAGCUGAGAGAUCCUCAUCUCUGCAGGGAUGAGGGAGCUUUGUGCUGCCUUGCUUAUCCGUUCCUGUCAUAAAUCUGUAAAAGGGUGAAGGCUGCCGAAAAAAAGUCUAAAACGGAGAAAAGGUUUUUGGAAGAAUGGAAGUAACUCUACCGGGAAAAAAAAACAGAGCUCACUGAUCUGGUGCAAGGAAAUAUCUCCAUUCCUGUGCAAUGUGGACAAAGAAACAGUAUACCUGUUGCUAAAGGACAGUUCAGAGCAAUGCAGUUAUGGAGGAUGACUCUCUUGGAAGAUAUCAGAGGCUGAAGUGUAGAGCAGAUCCAAACUUGUGAGUGGAGUAGCCUAAAGAUGACCGUCCAAACCACAGCUUGGUGCCUCUACACAGCAGCAUCACCCAGAUGUUUAAUCUCAGAUAUGGAUUACAUACCUGAUAAUAUAUCGAAAGUUAUCCCUUGACAACAACUUGUUAACUUUCUUCUCCCUCUUUAUGUCAUGUGACUCCCCAAUGCAAUGUAGCUCACCUGCACCAAAGAUGCAUGUGGCUUCAAGGCAUUUUGAUCCAAUGGCAGUACAUGCUGUAAAAUGGUCUGUCUCGUCUCACUCAACAAACACCUAAACAAGAGCCUGACUUGACUCUCUCAAGCUUUUCCUACUCCCAGUCUUACUGACUUUCUUGAGUUGGGAUGUCAUGUCAAUGGGAGUUAGAUGUCUUCCACAAUCCUUCUACUCACAUUAAU